rnacentral:tRNA from 2 species
GGGCGGUUAGCUCAGUUGGUAGAGCGCUUCGUUUACACCGAAGAUGUCGGCGGUUCGAGCCCGUCACCGCCCACCA